AGGAUUAUAGUUUAAAAAAAACAUUUAAGUUGCAGUUAAAAAUUAUUGUAAAAACCAAUUUAUCUUA
rnacentral:tRNA from 1 species